rnacentral:rRNA from 1 species
UACGAGGGGGGCGAGCGUUGUUCGGAAUCAUUGGGCGUAAAGGGUGCGUAGGCGGUUUGAUAAGUCUGAUGUGAAAUCUAUGGGCUCAACCCAUAGCCUGUAUUAGAAACUGUCGGGCUUGAGUAUGGGAGAGGUGAGUGGAAUUUCCGGUGUAGCGGUGAAAUGCGUAGAUAUCAGGAGGAACACCAAUGGCGAAGGCAGCUCGCUGGGACGGUACUGACACUGAGACGCGAAAGCGUGGGGAGCAAACAGG